ACCAUCAAACCAGACCUUAAGCAUGAAGAAGACCACAGGGUGUAAAUUGUUUCAGUUGUUUUUCAUCUUUACCUAAAGAUUUUAAUUUUAGAAUUAUUUAGCAUAAGACACUUAUAUAAAAAUUAUAGAAAAUUAAUUUAUUCAGGAAAAUUUACUAAGCAAAUGUUACUUACUGUAGUAGGAAUACAUGAUGAACAAUACAGCCAUGAUUCUUCCAUUCUCCAAACGCUGACUAGAUAUCCUACAAUAUAAUUAAAUUCUGCUACUACUUACCCAGAGUUAGAAUCUGACUCCACAUAUUUAAGGGCUCAGCCUUCACUUCAGAGGCCAGUCACAAGUGUGGGGUCCCCAGCUUACCCACACUUCUGUCUGACUUGGCUACAAAUCAGGGAUCCCCACAACUCCUCACCACCUCAGGUUCAAGAAUUUGCUAGAAAGGCUCAUAGAACUCAGGAAAACAGUUUACUUAUGUUGACCAGUGUGUUAUAAUGAAUAUAACUCAGGAACAGCCAAAUGAAAGAAUGCGUGAGGCGAGGUAUGGAGGAAGGGGUAUGGAACUUCCAUGCUCUUUCUGGGAGAGCCACCCUUCAGUAUCUUGAUAAUCUAUGUAAGCAUGAUUGAUGAAAUCUUGGCCAUUGAUGAUUAACUCAGUCUCCAGCUCUUCUUCCCUCCUGGACGUUGCAGGAUGGGAUUGAAAGUUCCAAAUCCGUAAUCAUGCCUUGGCCUUUCUGGGAACCAGUGAUAAUCCUGAAGCUACCCAGAGAUUCCCAGACACCAGUCAUCUCAUUUUCAUACAGAAGAUUCUCUUAUCACUCUGGAGAACACAGUGUUUUAGGAGCUGUAUGCCAGGAACCAGGGACAAAGGCCAAAUAUCUAUUUCCUUGUCUCACUGGAGGUCCUGGAGAUAAAGAGGAGAGGAAAAGGAGACCAAAAUGGAGCAGCCAGUACAGUAGGAGGAAUAUAAUUUUAAGGCGGGUGCGACGCUGCUCCUCCUCCAAGCCAUCUGACCCCAUGGAUUUAUCAAGUGUUCACGACCCUCAGCGGCACCCCUCCCUUCACAGAGUGAGUCAGCCUCUCUAACUCUGGGUUACUGUCUGACUUGAUCUGGUCAUUUCUGAAGAUAUUAGGUAAUAUUAGACCCAUCUCUGGCCCCAUGGAAUUACAUUUAAUAUCUCCUCUGUUUUCUGCCAUGCCAAAAAAUCAAUGUAUAAUAAAG
rnacentral:lncRNA from 12 species